GGAAAUGAAGAAGAAAGAAAGAAGUUUAAGAGGUUCUUCCACUGGUGUUCGGCACACGAUCAACAAAACCCACAAAGUCAAGAAAAGAUCCACCUAUCCAUUUGCAACAUUUGGAACGGAGAGGAGAUUCUCCCGUAUUGCAUGAACAAUAAAUAGAAGUCUGUCUUCAGGUGUCAUCUGGACCUGGACAGAAUCUGUUCUGUAAUGAUGUUAAGGUGAGAUGUUCUGAUGGGACACUUGUGGUUCUUUAGAGCUACCAGACUGCUUAUUUCCAACCAUUCCUGCUUUAAAUGUUUAUAAUCAACACUGUGGGUAAGGCUGUUGUCCUUUACCUCAAUUUAAUUGUUAUAAUAAUGACACAUUAAUUUUCUUCCCCCUUCUUGAAUUUUCUCUUAAACACCACAGGGAUUGUCUGAACAAGGACUGUCCAGCAACUGUUUUAACAUUUGUAGUCAUGGCAACAUCCGCUUCCACCCACCAUAUUGUUGUAUGGUCUUUAUAGAUGUAAUAAUCACAUUUUUCUCAACAGUGUACACUGUACUUUGUAAUGGGAGCAUCAUGUGAUUUCAGUGAGGUAAGGAAACAGAUGAGAGUCUCUACUUUCUGUUGGAGAUUUCAUUAAAUGUGAACCUGUGAAAUCCACAGGAUGAUAGAUGACAAUACGAAGAUGGUAGUGUCUCUCUCUUGAGAAACUUCCCUGUGAGGUCAGAACAAUAAUGGUGCUCUGUACCACGUCAUGUUACACAUCUGUCAGUUUUUUAAGAAAACCUUCAAUUUGUCCUUUUUAAAGGGUCCAGAGAAGAACAACAAAAGGAGAGAGAGCAGAAAAAAGUUGAUGAGAGGCAAAAUGUGA